rnacentral:rRNA from 1 species
CCUACGGAGGCUGCAGUGGGGAAUAUUGCACAAUGGGGGAAACCCUGAUGCAGCGACGCCGCGGGAGUGAAGAAGUAUUUCGGUAUGUAAAGCUCUAUCAGCAGGGAAGAAAUAGCGACCUUUGGGUCGCCAGACGGUACCUGACUAAGAAGCCCCGGCGAACUACGUGCCAGCAGCCGCGGUAAUACGUAGGGGGCAAGCGUUAUCCGGAUUUACUGGGUGUAAGGGGAGCGUCGACGGCAGGACAAGUCUGAAGUGAAAUGCCGGGGCUUAACCCCGGAACUGCUUUGGAAACUGUGCAGCUAGAGUGCAGGAGAGGUAAGUGGAAUUCCUGGUGUAGCGGUGAAAUGCGUAGAUAUUAGGAGGAACACCAGUGGCGAAGGCGGCUUACUGGACUGUAACUGACGUUGAGGCUCGAAAGCGUGGGGAGCAAACAGGAUUAGAUACCCUGGUAGUC